rnacentral:rRNA from 1 species
CCCUUAGAUGUCCGGGGCCGCACGCGUGCUACACUGAGUAAAUCAAUGGGUAAGGGAACACGAAAGUGCAACCUAAUCUUCAAAUUUGCUCGUGAUGGGGAUCGACGGUUGCAAUUUUCCGUCGUGAACGAGGAAUACCUUGUAGGCGCGUGUCAUCAUCACGCGCCGAAUACGUCCCUGCCCUUUGUACACACCGCCCGUCGCUCCUACCGAUUGAGUGAUCCGGUGAGGCUCUGGGACCUGGACGGAAAGAGCGUUUCGCUUGUUCUGUUUGGGAAACUUGGUCGAACCUUAUCAUUUAGAGGAAGGAGAAGUCGUAACA